rnacentral:rRNA from 1 species
GAUGAACGCUGGCGGCGUGCCUAACACAUGCAAGUCGAGCGGGAUUGUACUUUCGGGUAUAAUUUAGCGGCGGACGGGUGAGGAACACGUGGAUAACCUGCCUUAUACAAAGGAAUAACAUUGAGAAAUGAGUGCUAAUGCCUUAUAAGCUCACGGAAUCGCAUGGUUAUGUGAGAAAAGAUUUAUUGGUAUAAGAGGGGUCCGCGGCUGAUUAGCUAGUUGGAGGGGUAACGGCCCACCAAGGCGACGAUCAGUAGCCGAUCUGAGAGGAUGAACGGCCACAUUGGGACUGAGACACGGCCCAAACUCCUACGGGAGGCAGCAGUGGGGAAUAUUGCGCAAUGGGGGGAACCCUGACGCAGCAACGCCGCGUGAAGGAAGAAGGCUUUCGGGUUGUAAACUUCUUUAGGUGGAGAAGAAAGAAAUGACGGUAUCCACAGAAUAAGCACCGGCUAACUACGUGCCAGCCGCCGCGGUAAUAC